ACCUGACUGCUAUCGGAUUGGUACUAAGCCAUGCGAGUCAUUGUAGCAAUACAAGGCGGACGGCUCAGUAACACGUAGUCAACCUAACUCGUGGACGUGGAUAACCUCGGGAAACUGAGAAUAAACCACGAUAGAUCAUAGUGCCUGGAAUGGCUUAUGGUCCAAACAGUUUACUGCCAUGGGAUGGGACUGCGGCCUAUCAGCUUGUUGGUGAGGUAAUGGCCCACCAAGGCGAUUACAGGUACGGGCUCUGAAAGGAGAAGCCCGGAGAUGGGUACUGAGACACGGACCCAGGCCCUAUGGGGCGCAGCAGGCGAGAAACCUUAGCAAUGUGCGAAAGCACGACUGGGUCAGUCCGAGUGAUUCCUGAUAAAGGAGUCUUUUGCCUGUCCUAAAAGCACAGGUGAAUAAGGGGUGGGCAAGUCUGGUGUCAGCCGCCGCGGUAAUACCAGCACCUCGAGUGGUCAGGACGUUUAUUGGGCCUAAAGCAUCCGUAGCCGGCUCUGCAAGUCUUCGGUUAAAUCCACCUGCUCAACAGAUGGGCCGCUGGAGAUACUACAGAGCUAGGGAGUGGGAGAGGCAGAUGGUAUUCAGUGGGUAGGGGUAAAAUCCUCUGAUCCAUUGAGGACCACCAGUGGCGAAGGCGGUCUGCCAGAACACGUUCGACGGUGAGGGAUGAAAGCUGGGGGAGCAAACCGGAUUAGAUACCCGGGUAGUCCCAGCUGUAAACGAUGCAAACUCGGUGAUGCAUUGGCUUAUGGCCAAUGCAGUGCCGCAGGAAGCCGUUAAGUUUGCCGCCUGGGAAGUACGGACGCAGUCUGAAACUUAA
rnacentral:rRNA from 1 species